UGGGGAAUUUUGGACAAUGGGCGCAAGCCUGAUCCAGCCAUGCCGCGUGAGUGAAGAAGGCCUUCGGGUUGUAAAGCUCUUUCGCGAGGGAAGAAAACUUAGUUAAUAACACUAGCUGAGGAUGACGGUACCUUGAUAAGAAGCACCGGCUAACUACGUGCCAGCAGCCGCGGUAAUACGGGGGGUGCAAGCGUUGUUCGGAAUUAUUGGGCGUAAAGCGCGUGUAGGCGGUUUGAUUAGUCUGAUGUGAAAGCCCUGGGCUCAACCCAGGAAGUGCAUUGGAAACUGUCAGACUUGAAUACGGGAGAGGGUAGUGGAAUUCCUGGUGUAGGAGUGAAAUCCGUAGAUAUCAGGAGGAACACCGGUGGCGAAGGCGGCUCACUGGACCAAUACUGACGCUGAGGCGCGAAAGCGUGGGGAGCAAACAGG
rnacentral:rRNA from 1 species